UAUGGCUCAGGAUGAACGCUAGCUACAGGCUUAACACAUGCAAGUCGAGGGGCAUCAGGAGACUAGCUUGCUAGUUUCGCUGGCGACCGGCGCACGGGUGCGUAACACGUAUCCAACCUACCCAUGGCUCAGGGAUAGCCUUUCGAAAGAAAGAUUAAUACCUGAUGGUUUCCUUCACCCGCAUGGGUGUAUGAAUAAAGAUUCAUCGGCGAUGGAUGGGGAUGCGUCCGAUUAGCUUGUUGGCGGGGUAACGGCCCACCAAGGCGACGAUCGGUAGGGGCUCUGAGAGGAGGAUCCCCCACACUGGAACUGAGACACGGUCCAGACUCCUACGGGAGGCAGCAGUGAGGAAUAUUGGUCAAUGGGCGAAGGCCUGAACCAGCCAAAAGUAGCGUGAGGGACGACUGCCCUAUGGGUUGUAAACCUCUUUUGUUUGGGAAUAAAGGACCCCACGCGUGGGGUUUUGCAUGUACCUUACGAAUAAGCAUCGGCUAAUUCCGUGCCAGCCGCGGC
rnacentral:rRNA from 1 species